UACGUAGGGGGCAAGCGUUGUCCGGAUUUAUUGGGCGUAAAGAGCGUGUAGGCGGUUUGGUAGGUCCGUUGUGAAAACUCGAGGCUCAACCUCGAGACGCCGAUGGAAACCAUCAGACUAGAGUCCGGAAGAGGAGAGUGGAAUUCCUGGUGUAGCGGUGAAAUGCGCAGAUAUCAGGAAGAACACCCGUGGCUAAGGCGGCUCUCUAGUACGGUACUGACGCUGAGGCGCGAAGGCGUGGGGAGCGAACGGG
rnacentral:rRNA from 1 species